GCUUGUCUCAAAGAUUAAGCCAUGCAUGUGUAAGUAUCAGAAGUCUGAACUUCAAAACUGCGAAUGGCUCAUUAUAUCAGUUAUAGUUUAUUUGAUAGUACCUUACUACUUGGAUAACCGUAGUAAUUCUAGAGCUAAUACAUGCAUAAAUACCCAACUAUGCUUCGGUGUGGACGGGUAGCAUUUAUUAGAUUGAAACCAAUUCCUUCGGGAUUUUGUGUUGAAUCAUAAUAACUGUGCUGAUCGCUCUAAGCGAUAAGUCGAUUGAGUUUCUGCCCUAUCAGCUUUGGAUGGUAGGAUAUGGGCCUACCAUGGCGUUAACGGGUAACGGGGAAUUAGGGUUUGAUUCCGGAGAGGGAGCCUUAGAAACGGCUACCACAUCCAAGGAAGGCAGCAGG
rnacentral:rRNA from 1 species